UACGGGGGGGGCAAGCGUUGUUCGGAAUUACUGGGCGUAAAGGGCUCGUAGGCGGCCAACUAAGUCAUACGUGAAAUCUCUCGGCUUAACCGGGAGCGGUCGUUGGAAACUGAUGGACUUGAGGCGAUGAGAGGGAUGUGGAAUUCCCGGUGUAGUGGUGGAAUGCGUAGAUAUCGGGAGGAACAUCAGUGGCGAAAGCGGCACCCUGGCAUUAGCCUGACGCUCAUGUGCGAAAGCGUGGGGAGCGAACGGG
rnacentral:rRNA from 1 species